rnacentral:rRNA from 1 species
UGAACGCUGGCGGCGUGCUUAACACAUGCAAGUCGCACGAGAACGCUUCAGCUUGCUGAAGUUAGUAAAGUGGCGCACGGGUGAGUAACGCGUGGGUAACCCACCUCCGAAUUGGGGAUAACAUUGCGAAAGCGAUGCUAAUACCGAAUAAUAUCUUAUACACUUCGGUGCUUAAGAUCAAAGAUGGCCUCUCCUUGGAAGCUAUCGUUUGGGGACGGGCCCGCGUACCAUUAGCUUGUUGGUAGGGUAAUGGCCUACCAAGGCUACGAUGGUUAGCUGGUCUGAGAGGAUGAUCAGCCACACUGGAACUGACACACGGUCCAGACUCCUACGGGAGGCAGCAGUGAGGAAUUUUGCGCAAUGGGGGAAACCCUGACGCAGCAACGCCGCGUGAGUGAUGAAGGCUUUCGGGUCGUAAAGCUCUGUCAAGUGGGAAGAACCUACAUGGUGAUAAUACCGCCAUGUACUGACGGUACCACUGAAGGAAGCACCGGCUAACUCC